CGUGCAGCGCGGCCCAGGCGGGGUGCGAGUGGCGCAGUCGGAGCCCGCUGCGGCCCUUGAGGAAGCGAGGAGGCGUCAGUGUCGACUGAGGCGGGUGAACCGGCGAGGCGGCGGCUUCAAGCCCCUAGAGACUAAGGAGCUCGAGCAGCAGUAGCACCUCUUCCCCUAGGAAGCAGCGGGCGGCGGCGGCGGCGGCGGGAGCGGUGGUGCCCCACUCCCCCCGGGCACGGGGCCAUGUACAACGGGAUCGGGCUGCCGACGCCCCGGGGCAGCGGCACCAACGGCUACGUCCAGCGCAACCUGUCCCUGGUUCGGGGCCGUCGGGGUGAGCGGCCUGACUACAAGGGAGAGGAGGAACUGCGGCGCCUGGAGGCUGCCCUGGUGAAGCGGCCUAAUCCUGACAUCCUGGACCACGAGCGCAAGCGGCGAGUGGAGCUGCGAUGCCUCGAGCUGGAGGAGAUGAUGGAAGAGCAGGGGUACGAGGAACAGCAAAUUCAGGAAAAAGUGGCGACCUUUCGACUCAUGUUGCUGGAGAAGGAUGUGAACCCUGGGGGCAAGGAGGAGACCCCAGGGCAGAGACCAGCGGUAACUGAGACUCACCAGUUGGCAGAAUUGAAUGAGAAAAAGAAUGAGCGACUUCGUGCUGCCUUUGGCAUCAGUGAUUCCUAUGUGGAUGGGAGCUCUUUUGAUCCUCAGCGUCGUGCUCGAGAAGCCAAACAACCAGUUCCCGAGCCUCCUAAACCUUACAGCCUUGUUCGGGAGUCCAGUAGUUCUCGUUCACCAACCCCAAAGCAAAAGAAGAAGAAAAAGAAGAAAGAUAGAGGACGCAGGUCAGAGAGCAGCUCUCCUCGACGAGAGAGGAAGAAGAGCUCUAAGAAGAAGAAGCACAGGUCAGAGUCUGAAUCCAAGAAACGGAAGCACAGGUCUCCCACUCCAAAGAGCAAACGUAAAUCUAAGGACAAGAAGCGGAAGCGGUCUCGAAGUACAACACCAGCCCCCAAGAGCCGCCGGGCCCACCAUUCAACUUCUGCUGACUCUGCCUCCUCUUCUGAUACUUCCCGCAGUCGGUCUCGAAGUGCUGCAACAAAAACCCAUACAACUGCCUUGACAGGGCAAAGUCUUUCCCCUGCUUCAGGGCGUAGAGGGGAGGGAGAUGCACCUUCCAGAGAACCAGGUACCAACAACACAGGGCAUCCAAGCAGCCCAGAACCCUCUACAAAACAGCCUAGUAGCCCUUAUGAAGACAAAGACAAGAAGGAGGAGAAAUCUACAGUUCGACCUAGCCCCUCUCCGGAAAGGAGCAGCACAGGCCCAGAACCAUCUGCUCCCACUCUGCUCCUUGCUGAGCAACAUGGCAGCUCCCCACAACCCAUUGCAAAAACCCCCAUAAGUCAGGAGCCAAUGAAUCCCCCAUCUGAGGCUUCCCCAACCCGGGGUCGAUUACCACCUAAGUCUCCUGAGAAACCUCCCCAAUCAUCUUCAGAGAGCUCCCCACCAUCCCCUCAACCUACCAAAGUUUCUCGGCAUGCCAGCUCUUCCCCUGAAAGUCCUAAACCCACACCAGCUCCAGGGUCCCACCGAGAGAUUUCUUCUUCUCCCGCAUCGAAGAGUCGCUCACAUGGCAGAGGAAAGCGGGAUAAGUCACAUUCUCCUACUCCUCGUAGGAUGGGGAGGUCCCCUAGCCCUACCACCACGAAGAGGGGGCGAUCGCGGUCUCGAACCCCUACUAAGCGAGGUCAUUCUCGAUCCCGGUCCCCUCAGUGGCAUAGGUCCCGGUCUGUACAGAGAUGGGGGCGAUCUAGAAGUCCCCAGCGACGUGGCCGAUCUAGGUCUCCUCAGCGACCAGGCUGGUCCAGGAGCAGAAAUACCCAGAGAAGAGGCAGAUCUAGAUCAGCAAGGCGAGGAAGGUCACACUCCAGAUCCCCAGCUGCUAGGGGCAGAUCUCGCUCUAGAACACCAGCCAGACGGGGCAGAUCUCGCUCUAGAACACCCACGAGGCGUAGAUCACGAUCCAGAACACCAAACAGGCGUAGAUCUCGGUCUAGAACACCAGCCAGGAGGGGCAGAUCUCGGUCUAGAACACCGGCUAGGCGCAGAUCUAGGACCCAUUCAGUACGACGGAGGUCUCGUAGCAGGUCGCCAGCCAGGAGAAGCGGCAGGUCUCGCUCUAGAACCCCGGCCAGGCGUGGCAGGUCUUCCUCUAGGACCCCAGCCAGGCGUGCCAGGUCUCGCUCUAGAACCUCAGCCAGGCGAGGAAAAUCUCGGUCUAGGACACCAGCAAGACGAGGGAGAUCUAGGUCUAGGACUCCAGCAAGACGAAGAUCCCGUAGUAGAAGUCUAGUUAGACGGGGAAGAUCUCAUUCUAGAACACCACAAAGGAGAGGCAGGUCUGGCUCAUCAUCAGAGCGGAAGAAUAAAUCCAGAACAUCACAGAGAAGGAGCAGGUCCAACUCAAGCCCAGAAAUGAAAAAAUUCCAUGUUUCUUCAAGGCGGAGCAGGUCUCUCUCCUCUCCACGAUCCAAAGCAAAAUCUCGCUUGUCUUUGAGACGAAGCCUUUCUGGAUCCUCUCCGUGUCCUAAACAAAAGUCUCAGACACCACCUAGGCGUAGCCGCUCUGGAUCAUCCCAAUCUAAAGCUAAAUCUCAAACACCACCACCAAGACGAAGUCAUUCUGGUUCAUCUCAACCUGAAGGGAAAUCUGGAACACCACCAAGGCAAGGAUCUGUAACAAGUCCUCAGGCAAAUGAACAGUCUGCAACACCACAAAGACAGAGCUGUUCUGAAACAUCACCUGAUCCUGAGGUGAAGUCUAGGACCCCUUUGAGACAAAGCUGCUCUGUGUCCUCGCCUUCUGCAGUGAAAUCGAGCACAUCUCCAAGACGGAGCCGGUCUGGGUCGUCAUCUCCACAACCCAAAGUAAAGGCAGUAAAAUCACCAAUCCAGAGCCGUUCUGGUUCAUCUUCUCCAAGUCCUGGUAGGGUGACAUCUAAUACACCACCAAGGCAAGACAGAUCAGAGUCUCCUCGCUCCAAGGUGGAAUCUAUAUUGUUACAAAGACACAGCCAUUCUAGGUCCUCCUCACCAGAUACCAAAGUGAAACCUGGAACACCACCAAGACAAAGUCACUCAGGGUCUACUUCACCAAGCCCCAAAGUACAGCCUCAAACUUCACCAGGCCACAAUCUUUCUGGAUCAAAGUCACCAGGUUCCCAAGAGAUGUCUAAAGAUUCAUCAGCACAAAGUUGUUCUGGGUCCUUCUCACUCUGUUCAGGACUAAAGUCUAGCACACCACCAGGAGAGAGCUAUUUUGGCACUUCAUCUCUGCAGCAAGAAGGACAAUCUCUCACUUCACUAGAUUCUAGAUCUGACACUUCAAGUCCAGAAAGGAGACAGAAUCACUAUGACACACUAUCUCUGAAGAGCAAAUCUCAAACACCGCCUAAGGGUGGUCAAUCCAGGCCCUCUUCUCCUGUCACUGAGCCUGCACCCAGAUCUCCAACAACACAAGAUAGAAGCAAAUUGUCGGUGAGCCCUAGGCUGAAAUCUGGAAUGUCUCCUGAACAGAACAGAUCCCAAUCUGACUCUUCCCCAUAUCCUCCAGUGGACUGUAAAUCUCUUCUGGGGCAGAGUAGAUUGGAGCCUUCUCCUGAAUCAAAAAAGCAAACAGACUUACUCCUUCAGGAGGAUCUUACUGCAUCAUCUAUACUAAGUGACAAAUUGAGUCCUCCUCCAGUACAGAAUAGACCUGAGCCCUCACCAGUACUCAAAGAUACACCUAGAACCUCUUCAAAGGAAAGAGGUGGUGUUGGGUCAUCUCCAGAUACAAAAGACCAAAGUAGUCCAUCAGCUAAACCAAGCCAAGAUGAGGAGUUAAUGGAGGUAGCUGACAAAUCUGAAGUGUCCUCAAACCAGGUCUUGUCCCAUGUUUCUCCAGAACUCAAAGAAAUGGCUGGAAGUAACUUUGAAUCAUCUUCUGAAAAAGAAGAAAGGACUGCUGUGUCUUUGACUCUUGACCAAGGCCAGUUGUUGCAGGCUUCUUUGGAAGCAGAACUCCCUGCAGUGGCAUCAACUUGGAGUGGGCCACAUUAUUCUCCAGAACAUAAAGAACUGUCUAACACCUCUCCCAGGGAGAAUAACUAUGAGUCACCUUUAGAAUUUAGAAACUCAGGCCCUGUUGCAGAAAUAAAUACUGAAUUUUCUGCUGAGGUCAAAGGUUUGAAUGAACCUUUUCCUAGUCAGUUGGAGACAGAUCCAUCUCUAGACAUGAAAGAACAAUUGAGGUCCUCCAGACGCAGCAGUUCUGAGUUAUCCCCAGAUGCAGUGGGAAAAGCAGGAAUGUCCUCAAAUCAGACUCUCUCUUCGCCAGUACUUGAUGCUAUACCUAGAACACCCUCAAGGGAAAGAAGUAGUUCUGCAUCUUCUCCUGAACUGAAAGAUGAUUUACCCAGAACCCCCUCAAGGAGAAGCAGGUCUGGGUCUUCCCCAGGACUUAGAGAUGGGUCUGGGACUCCCUCAAGGCACAGCUUGUCUGGAUCCUCUCCUGGAAUGAAAGACAUACCCAGAACACCAUCCAGGGGGAGAAGUGAAUGUGAUUCUUCUCCAGAAACAAAAGCUUUGCCUCAGACUCCUAGGCCAAGGAGUCGUUCUCCAUCAUCCCCAGAACUCAAGUGUAUUACCCCCCAGAGAGAAAGAAGUGGGUCAGAAUCAUCAGUUGAACAAAAGACUUCGGGUAGGUCUCCUCUUGGGCAGAGAAGUCGAUCUGGAUCUUCUCAAGAACUUGAUGAGAAACCCAGUGCAUCCACUCAGGAAAGAAGUGAUUCAGACUCUUCUCCAGAUGCUAAAGUUAAAACACGAAUGUCACUUAGACAAAGGAGUCGUUCUGGAUCAUCUCCAGAGGUUGAUAGCAAAUCCCGACCUUCUCCUCAGCUUAGUAGGUCUGGCUCAUCCCCUGAAGUUAAAGAUAAGCCAAGAGCAGCAUCUAGGGCACAGAGUGGUUCUGAUUCCUCUCCUGAACCCAAGGCUCCUGCCCCUCGGGCCCUUCCCAGACGAAGCAGAUCAGGUUCAUCAAGCAAAGGUAGAGGUCCUUCUCCUGAAGGAAGCAGCAGUUCUGAGUCUUCUCCAGAACACCCUCCCAAAUCCAGAAUGGCUAGAAGAAGCUCUAGGUCAUCACCACAGCCCAAGACUAAGUCUCGCACCCCACCUCGUCGUCACAGCUCUCGAUCAUCAGAGAGGGCUAGGAAGACCAGACUCUCCCGUAGAAGUCGUUCUGCAUCUUCCUCACCAGAGACACGUUCUAGAACUCCCCCACGACGCCGACGAAGUCCUUCAGUGUCCUCCCCAGAGCCAGCUGAAAAGUCAAGAUCUUCACGCCGGCGGCGUUCAGCUUCAUCCCCCCGCACUAAGACAACUUCAAGGAGAGGUCGUUCUCCUUCACCAAAGCCUCGUGGGCUCCAGAGGUCCCGUUCCCGGUCAAGGAGGGAGAAAACCAGAACGACCCGACGUCGAGAUAGGUCUGGAUCUUCUCAGUCAACCUCUCGAAGAAGACAGCGGAGCCGUUCAAGGUCUCGGGUUACUCGUAGGCGUAGAGGAGGCUCUGGUUACCACUCAAGGUCUCCUGCCCGGCAAGAGAGUUCACGAACCUCCUCUCGACGUCGAAGAGGUCGCUCUCGGACACCCCCAACCAGUCGGAAGCGUUCCCGCUCACGCACAUCACCAGCCCCAUGGAAGCGUUCCAGGUCUCCCACUCAUCGGCGAUCCAGAUCCAGAACACCCCUGGUCAGCCGACGUAGAUCCAGGUCACGUACUUCACCAGUCAGUCGGAGAAGAUCAAGAUCUAGGACAUCAGUGACACGAAGAAGAUCUCGCUCAAGAGCAUCCCCAGUGAGUCGAAGGCGAUCCAGGUCCAGAACACCACCAGUAACCCGCCGGCGUUCAAGAUCCAGAACACCAGCUCGCCGGCGUUCCCGUUCUAGAACACCACCAGUGACUCGCAGAAGAUCUAGAUCUAGGACUCCACCAGUAAUGAGGAGGCGAUCCCGAAGCAGAACCUCUCCUAUCACUCGCAGAAGAUCCAGAUCCAGAACAUCACCAGUCACCCGCAGGAGAUCUCGAUCUCGCACCAGUCCAAUAACUCGAAGGAGGUCCCGCUCUCGAACCUCUCCAGUGACACGCCGCAGAUCUAGGUCUCGAACACCUCCAGCUAUUCGGCGUCGCUCUAGGUCUCGAACCCCACUUUUGCCACGCAAACGCUCUCGAAGUCGUUCAUCACUUGUCCGCCGUCGUUCUAGAUCUCGUACUCCUCGAAUGACUCGGGGCAAACGGUCCUUAACAAGAUCUCCUCCAGCCAUCCGUAGACGAUCUGUAUCUGGAAGUAGUUCCGAUCGUUCACGUUCUGCUACUCCUCCUGCAACAAGGAAUCAUUCUGGUUCUCGGACACCUCCAGUGGCACUCAAUAGCUCCAGAAUGAGUUGCUUCAGUCGUCCUAGCAUGUCACCAACUCCUCUUGACCGCUGUAGAUCUCCUGGAAUGCUUGAACCCCUUGGCAGCUCUAGAACACCCAUGUCUGUCCUGCAGCAAGCUGGUGGCUCCAUGAUGGAUGGUCCAGGUCCCCGAAUUCCUGAUCACCCUAGAACAUCUGUGCCAGAAAAUCAUGCUCAGUCUAGAAUUGCACUUGCCCUGACAGCCAUCAGUCUUGGCACUGCUCGGCCGCCUCCAUCCAUGUCUGCUGCAGGCCUUGCUGCAAGAAUGUCCCAGGUUCCUGCUCCAGUGCCUCUCAUGAGUCUCAGAACAGCCCCAGCUGCCAGCCUUGCCAGUAGGAUUCCUGCAGCCUCUGCAGCAGCCAUGAACCUGGCCAGUGCCAGGACACCUGCCAUACCAACAGCAGUGAACCUGGCUGACUCGAGAACACCAGCUGCAGCAGCAGCCAUGAACUUGACCAGCCCCAGAACAGCAGUCACACCAUCUGCUGUGAACCUCGCUGACCCGCGCACCCCUACAGCUCCAGCUGUGAACCUACCAGGAGCCAGAACCCCAGCGGCAUUGGCAGCAUUGAGUCUCUCAGGCUCUGGCACACCCCCAAACGCUGCAAACUAUCCAUCCAGCUCCAGAACACCCCAGGCACCAACCCCUGCAAACCUGGUGGGUCCUAGAUCUACACAUGCCACAGCUCCUGUGAAUAUUGCCAGCUCAAGAACCCCGCCAUCCUUGGCCCCUGCAAGCCUCACCAGUGCUAGAAUGGCUCCAGCUUUGUCUGGUGCAAACCUCACCAGCCCCAGGGUGCCCCUCUCUGCCUAUGAGCGCAUUAGUGGCAGAACCUCACCACCGCUCCUUGACCGAGCCAGGUCUAGAACCCCACCGGGAGGCCCAGGCUCCAGAACCCCACCAGCUGCCCCAAGCCAGUCUAGAAUGACCUCUGAGCGGGUUCCCUCUCCAGUUUCUAGAAUGGUUCAGGCUCCUCCCUCACAGUCUGUUCUCCCUCCAGCUCAGGAUCGGCCUAGGUCCCCUGUGCCAUCUGCUCUUUCUGACCAAUCCCGAUCUUUGCUUGCCUCAACGACCCCUGUAGCAGGAUCUCAGUCCCUCUCUUCUGGGUCGGUGGCAAAGACCACAUCCUCUGCUGGUGACCACAAUGGCAUGCUCUCUGUCCCUGCCCCUGGGGGGGCCCACCCUGAGGGCGGGGAACCACCUGCCUCUACGGGGGCCCUGCAGCCAGCAAAGGAGCGGCGGAGUUCCUCCUCCUCCUCCUCAUCUAGUUCCUCCUCGUCAUCGUCGUCAUCCUCCUCCUCCUCCUCCUCCUCUGGCUCCAGUUCUAGUGACUCGGAGGGCUCUAGCCUUCCCCUUCAACCCGAGGUGGCACUGAAGAGGGUCCCUACUCCUCCCCCAGCCCCAAAAGAGACUGAACGAGAGGGACGACCUCAGGAACCAACCCCAGCCAAGAGGAAGAGGCGUGAUAGCAGCUCCAGUUCCAGCUCUUCCUCUUCCUCUUCCUCAUCUUCCUCCUCUUCCUCUUCCUCCUCUUCUUCCUCCUCCUCCUCUUCCUCCUCUUCCUCCUCCUCUUCCUCUUCUACAUCCUCUCCUUCCCCUGCUAAGCCUGACCCUCAGGCCUUGCCCAAACCUGCAAGUCCCAAGAAGCCACCCCCUGGCGAGCGGAGCCUCUUCCCUGUCUCCCUGCCUCCACGCCAUUCUCUUCCACUUGUAGCCAGAGGGAUCUUUCUAAAACGCACAUCUGGUUACUUCCCUCCACUCCACAAAUCCUUCUGGGACGCCCUGUGGCCUGCAGGAUAAAGCCCCAUCUCUGCGGGAAUGGCGUGUGAGGCUCUCCACCAACUGGCCUUGCCUGCCCUGUGUUCUCCUCUCCUGCCCGCCCCCACACAUGCCCUCUGCUCCAGCCACUCCCAGCGCCUUGCAGUCUAAGGAGAACCCCAUGCCUUUGGACAUGCUGUUCCUUCUGCCUGGAAUUCCCUUGUCCGCCUGGUGAACUCCUCGUUCUGCAAGACUCCGCUCAAACAGCACCUUCGAGAAGACUACCCUGCCCCUCCCCUUCAUCUCCCUCCCCUGAGUCCCCAGAUCUACCUAUAUCAGUCCCUGUGGGGCUGCUUCCCACACAUGAGGCUGAGCGUGCCUCUUGGCCUUCCUUCACCACCAGACUGAGCCCCUCCAAGGGCAGGGACUGUCUUUACCUUUGUGUCCCCCACCGUCCCAUCCCCAUGCCCUGCCCACUGGGGCACUCGGUGGAUGGUAUGCGGGCGGAUGGGUGAGUGAGCAGACAAAGGUGGGUCUGAGGCUGGCCCUGUGUGGUAUGAGGUUUGGUGGUUAAGACCUGGGGGGUGGUCCUGAGUGCUGGCUGGUGGGUUUGGAAGAAUGUGGCACUAUGUGGACCUUCUCUGCUCUUUAGGUCCCGCAGCCCCCGGAAGCCAAUAGACUCCCUCCGGGACUCCCGGUCCCUUAGCUAUUCACCUGCCGAGCGCCAACACCCCUCGCCCCAGCCCUCACCACAGGACCAACAGAGGAGCAGCAGCAGUGAGCAUGGUUCCCGGAGAGGUCAG